rnacentral:rRNA from 1 species
UCAGACGAUGCGUCAUGCAUAUCAAUAAGCGGAGGAAAAGAAACUAACAAGGAUUCCCUUAGUAACGGCGAGUGAAGCGGGAAGAGCUCAAAUUUGAAAUCUUCAAGGUUUUACCUUGACGAAUUGUAGUUUAAAGAAGUGUUUUCUGCUGAAGUUUUGGUAAAAGUUCUUUGGAAUAGGACAUCAUAGAGGGUGAGAAUCCCGUAUUUGACCAUUAUUUUCAGCUUUGUGAUACACUUUCAAAGAGUCGGAUUGUUUGGGAAUGCAGUCCAAAAUGGGUGGUAAAUUUCAUCUAAAGCUAAAUAUUGGCGAGAGACCGAUAGCGAACAAGUACCGUGAGGGAAAGAUGAAAAGAACUUUGAAAAGAGAGUUAAACAGUACGUGAAAUUGUCAAAAGGGAAGCGUUUGACACCAGUGUUGUUUUCUCGAAAAUCAAUUAAAAAUGGCUCGAUUUUGUAUUGCUUGAGACCUUAAAAGCUCACUGUACAUUUUUCGUGUCUUUUUUAAUGCACUUUUCGUUUAACAAGUCAACAUCAGUUUCUUUUGUUGUAAAAGGGAUCAUUGGAAGGUGGCUUUCUUUUCGGAGAAAGUAUUUAUAGCCUUUGGCCUCUGCAAUCGGAGAGACUGAGGUCUGCAGCGUAGACUCUUCGGGGUUAGAUACAUUUGUGCUAAGUUAUAGCUUUUUAUAGACAACUUGUUGACUAUAAUUAGUCUUGUAGCUUACUCGCUUAUGCUAUUUUACCUACGCUUAGGAUGUUGACUGAUAUGUAGUCGUA